UACGGAGGGGACUAGCGUUGUUCGGAAUUACUGGGCGUAAAGCGCACGUAGGCGGAUUUGUAAGUCAGGGGUGAAAGCCCAUGGCUCACCCAUGGAACUGUCCCCCGGACUGCACGGCUCGAGGAAGGAAGGGGAGAAUGGAAUUCCCGGUGUAGCGGUGAAAUGCGUAGAUAUCGGGAGGAACGCCGGUGGCGAAAGCGAUUCUCUGGUCCUUUCCUGACACUGAGGCGCGAAAGCUAGGGGAGCAAACAGG
rnacentral:rRNA from 1 species